rnacentral:rRNA from 1 species
CAGCCGCCGCGGUAAUACGUAGGUCCCGAGCGUUGUCCGGAUUUAUUGGGCGUAAAGCGAGCGCAGGCGGUUAGAUAAGUCUGAAGUUAAAGGCUGUGGCUUAACCAUAGUACGCUUUGGGAACUGUUUAACUUGAGUGCAGAAGAGGAGAGUGGAAUUCCAUGUGUAGCGGUGAAAUGCGUAGAUAUAUGGAGGAACACCAGUGGCGAAGGCGACUCUCUGGUCUGUAGCUGACGCUGAGGCUCGAAAGCGUGGGUAGCAAACAGGAUUAGAUACCCGAGUAGUCCCUGUCUCUUAUACA